GAGGCAUGCACAAUGAAGCCUCAGCAGGUGUGAACACAUCUCUGGGGCAGUGAGCGGCAUCUCCACACAUCACGAGACAGACGACAGAGGAUACGGAUAUCUCCCUUCCCCACGGGCUGAACUCAACAGAAUACUGGAUGCAAGGGAAUCCCUAACCUAAUCCAUGGAAUCCAGCCUCUGCAGAUGGCAACUCCAUCCCUUCCCAGGCUCUCUGGCCCCAACACCUCUGCACUCUUGAGUGCACAGCUUUCAGGACCACUUCCUGACUCGUCUUGGUGGAGGCCAGGAGUCAAUGGCGGGGAGCAGUACUGCAGCAAGCCAGCUUGGAGAUGAGGAGGCGAUGUGAACAGUGCAGUGCCUAUAGAGAGAAGAACACAGGAGGACCAUGGGUCUCUUGUUCAGGGUGGAUUUGAAGGCUGGAUGGGUCACAGGGGUCAUGAGGAAGAGGCGGGGGACACUUUGCACUCACUCAAAUUGAAGAAGGUUCCAUCAUUUCUAAUCAUUAUGAACGAUAUGGAUACAAUGUUGGAUGAGAUCAAAUGUCACUCACCCAGGCAAGGCUUAGAGUCAAGUCCUGAAGGUACCUACUGCAAUCCCUGGGUCUCACACCCUAUAACCAAGAAUUGGGCCAGGAACUUACAAAUGGGGGAAGAAACAGGGACUGUUUAUUAAGGGAGAAAGAGCUCUUCUGAGAAUGAAGUGGGCCAGCGAUGAAGGAAGUUCAGGUGUUUGAUGGUGCUGGGUCAGGAGAGCCAUGCGUCUGUCUUCUGUAUUUGGAUGCUGUGGGGAGGGGCUUCCAGUUCUCCUGACAACUGGCUCCUUGCAUUUUCAAACCUUGGUGUAUCACUUUACUCUCCUGCCACAGGAUGGUACCUUGAUGGGGACCUAUUGUGCUGUGCUGGGGCCACAGACAGGGGCCCUUCUACUAUUUCCUUCUUUCCCCACUGCCCCACUGCUCCACUGCCCCACUGCC